rnacentral:rRNA from 1 species
UCAGGCCGAAAGGCCUGCGCCAGCGAUGGCCGCUUGCGAGGUGCUGCAUGGUUGUCGUCAGCUCGUGCCGUGAGGUGUCGGGUUAAGUCCCAUAACGAGCGCAACCCCUACUGCUAGUUGCCAGCGGGUCAUGCCGGGGACUCUAGCGGAACUGCCAGCGUAAGCUGCGAGGAAGGUGGGGAUGACGUCAAAUCAGCACGGCCCUUACGUCCAGGGCUACACACGUGUUACAAUGGCCGGUACAGAGGGCAGCCACCCCGCGAGGGGGCGCGAAUCCCGAAAGCCGGUCCCAGUUCGGAUCGGAGUCUGCAACCCGACUCCGUGAAGCUGGAUUCGCUAGUAAUCGCGCAUCAGCCACGGCGCGGUGAAUACGUUCCCGGGCCUU